ACGUAGGAGGCGAACGUUAUCCGGAUUUACUGGGCGUAAAGCGCGUGUAGGUGGUUCUGUAAGUAGGGCGUGAAAGCUCCUGGCUCAACUGGGAGAGGCCGUUCUAAACUACAGAACUAGAGGAUGGUAGAGGGAGGUGGAAUUCCAGGUGUGACGAUGGAAUGCGCAGAUAUCUGAAGCAACACCAGUGGCGAGGGCAGCCUCCUGGUGCAUUCCUGACACUCAGACGGGAAAGCUAGGGUAGCGAACGG
rnacentral:rRNA from 1 species